rnacentral:lncRNA from 1 species
AAGUUUUUCGUAUUUAUUAUUGAUAUCGCAUACACCUUACUCUUUCUUUUAUGCAUCUACGGAAUGUAUUACUGGACACAAAGUAAAUUGUAAAGUUAAUGGAAAAGUUUACAUAAUACAAAAUCUGACAGAACUGUUGAGCUAAAAAUAAUGCCAUAUCGUUGUUUGCGAUUAAAUCAUUAACUAUUAUAUAGAAUCUGAUAGCAUGGCUUGGUAAAUUGAGAACCAAAAAUACAAUUGAUACAAUUGUCAACAUGACUGUCAAUCUCAUUUGUGCAACAGAUAACACAUUGUAUGUUGGAGAAUAAUAUUUGACGACCCGUGGUUUUGCGUGUUUGAAGUUAAAUUUGCGUAUUAUCACAAUUACAUAUAUAUUUAAAACAAAAAUGGCUAUAAAAGGAAUGAUGAACGUGAUGGCAGUAUCUAUAUAAGUAACCAUUGCUAAGAACCUGAAAUACUCCUGUUUAACUCGACAGCCAAUCACAGGUACAACCUCGAUGGUCAAGAAACAAUGGCUAUAAAUCAAGAUCGAAAAUACUGUAAUGGCAAUGCCAGUGCACUUUGCCAUUUUGUUUGAGCAUACCCGUGGUCGUCGUAACGGAAAACAAAUUAUAAUGAAUCUGUCAAGCAUAAUCAGAACAACACACCAAACAGAGAGGAAACUUGUGACGUACGUUAUGUAUAUUGUAACUAAACAUAAUCCACCCGUGUCAAUUCUUGCUUUCUUUAAUGUUCCCAUCCAUGUAAAUAUUAAUGCAAGGAGAAAGAAAGUAUCUGACACACUCAGUAAUGCCAGGAAAAUGCUAGAUGGAUGGCGACUAAAGCUGGUAAACACAAACACUUUAAACGAUAAAACAUUACAGAUCAUUCCAAUUACAACUAUCAUAGGUAUAACGUAAAUAUAAAGCCCAUGUACAAAAUCAUAAAAUGCAGGUUUCUCAUCGUCACUGAAAUACUCCGAUUUGUUACCAUCCGCACUAUUGUUGUUCAUUUUAAACUGCAUUACAUGUACUUUGUAGACCUUGCAUCUGCAUCACAUGCAUUCAGCAUACCUUGCUUCAUUAACAGUUAUCUG